CCCUUAGAUGUUCUGGGCCGCACGCGCGCUACACUGAUGCAUUCAACGAGUUUCUUCCUGGUCCGAGAGGAAUGGGUAACCUUUUGAAAGUGCAUCGUGAUAGGGAUAGACUAUUGCAAUUAUUGGCCUUCAACGAGGAAUUCCUAGUAGACGUAGUUCAUCAGACUGCAUCGAUUACGUCCCUGCCCUUUGUACACACCGCCCGUCGCUCCUACCGAUUGAAUGCUCAGGUGAGCCAUUCGGACUUUCAUCAUGCUGGUUUCCAGUUUUGAUGAAGGAAAGUCUUGCGAACCUUAUCAUUUAGAGGAAGGAGAAGUCGUAACA
rnacentral:rRNA from 1 species